rnacentral:misc_RNA from 1 species
GGAACAUACCGAAUGGCAUGUAAAUACAUGGUUGGGGAAUAGAACCAGCAAAGACAUUAGUAGGUGAAAUUAAAGAUCUUGGGAUUGGAUCUUGGUUGGAGACUACGUGCAAGAAGCUUGAAUUCCAUGAUGGACGUUCUGAUAUGGCUUGUUGCAGGCCACUAUCUCCAAGAAGAGGUGAACCAAAAGUGAUACAAGUGGGACGCUUAUUACUGUCCUUAAGUAGCCAGAGAGUGAAUAGAGAUGCCACAGAACCUCCCAACGAAACUCCAGUGAUUAUUAGAGGACUAAAACUGUC